AGAGUUUGAUCCUGGCUCAGGACGAACGCUGGCGGCGUGCUUAACACAUGCAAGUCGAACGGAAAGGCCCUUCGGGGUACUCGAGUGGCGAACGGGUGAGUAACACGUGGGUGAUCUGCCCUGCACUUUGGGAUAAGCCUGGGAAACUGGGUCUAAUACCGAAUAUGACCAUGCACUUCCUGGUGUGUGGUGGAAAGUUUUUGCGGUGUGGGAUGGGCCCGCGGCCUAUCAGCUUGUUGGUGGGGUAAUGGCCUACCAAGGCGACGACGGGUAGCCGGCCUGAGAGGGUGACCGGCCACACUGGGACUGAGAUACGGCCCAGACUCCUACGGGAGGCAGCAGUGGGGAAUAUUGCACAAUGGGCGCAAGCCUGAUGCAGCGACGCCGCGUGAGGGAUGACGGCCUUCGGGUUGUAAACCUCUUUCAGCACAGACGAAGCGCAAGUGACGGUAUGUGCAGAAGAAGGACCGGCCAACUACGUGCCAGCAGCCGCGGUAAUACGUAGGGUCCGGGCGUUGUCCGGAAUUACUGGGCGUAAAGAGCUCGUAGGUGGUUUGUCGCGUUGUUCGUGAAAACUCACAGCUUAACUGUGGGCGUGCGGGCGAUACGGGCAGACUUGAGUACUGCAGGGGAGACUGGAAUUCCUGGUGUAGCGGUGGAAUGCGCAGAUAUCAGGAGGAACACCGGUGGCGAAGGCGGGUCUCCGGGCAGUAACUGACGCUGAGGAGCGAAAGCGUGGGGAGCGAACAGGAUUAGAUACCCCGGUAGUCC
rnacentral:rRNA from 1 species